AUUAAAACGAAAGCUCCUCCGCGGCGCUUUCCUCAUCUCCCGCGCACGGUGUGUGGUGGAGAAAGGGCGGGAGCCGCGGUGUUUCCCUGAGGACAAUCAGCUGACAGCCCGCUGCCCACACGGUACCAGUGCCGACGGCCUCAGCUGCGUGCUAGGGCUGGGUCCAGGUUGGCUGUUAGGAAACGUUUCUUCCCAGAAAGACCAGCGAUGCUGCUGGGCACCUGCGUGAGGAAACGCUACCGCAGUUGUCAGGAGAGCGUGGAAAGAAGAUAUUUAUCGCAUUAGCCCUGCAUGAUCAAGGAGAAGGCUGGCUGUUUGAGGAUGCUUUAUUAAUGAAUGCUAGAGGACAUCCACCCCUCCUAAGGCACAAACUGGGGAGGCAGUCACUCCUGAAGCCGUGGAAUUCCUUCGCAUGAAGAAGAGGAUUUCUUAACCCAUAUGCAUAAUCCACGCAGGCACUCCACUGCAGGCAUUUUAAUUUCUAAAACCAGCCCCCAAAAGGGAGGGGGACAAACCCAAACAAAGUGAAAUAUCAUCUGCUGCUGCCAGCCACGCAUCCCCUCCCUACCUGGUGCUUAAUGUGAUAAUGAACCUUCCCGGAGGAGCUUUUGUGGUUUAGGGCUUACUGAAUAAUAAUGCAGUGCAGAAUGCACACAAAGCCACAUUUCUGUCUCGUUUCUUUUUGUUUCCUUCCCCUCCCCCAACCCCAAAUACACAUCUGAUCAAAAGUCAGACUGCAAUUAAAAAGAAGUGCAGUUUGC